UACGGAGGGUGCGAGCGUUAAUCGGAAUUACUGGGCGUAAAGGGUGCGUAGGCGGUUUAAUAAGUUAUGUGUAAAAUUCCUGGGCUCAACCUAGGGAGGUCAGAUAAGACUGUUAGACUAGAGUAUGGGAGAGGGUAGUGGAAUUUCCGGUGUAGCGGUGAAAUGCGUAGAUAUCGGAAGGAACACCGGUGGCGAAAGGCGGCUACCUGGCCUAAUACUGACGCUGAGGGCACGAAAGCGUGGGGAGCAAACAGG
rnacentral:rRNA from 1 species